UACGGAGGGAGCUAGCGUUGUUCGGAAUUACUGGGCGUAAAGCGCACGUAGGCGGCUUUUUAAGUCAGGGGUGAAAUCCCGGGGCUCAACCCCGGAACUGCCUUUGAAACUGGAAAGCUAGAAUCUUGGAGAGGCGAGUGGAAUUCCGAGUGUAGAGGUGAAAUUCGUAGAUAUUCGGAAGAACACCAGUGGCGAAGGCGACUCGCUGGACAAGUAUUGACGCUGAGGUGCGAAAGCGUGGGGAGCAAAC
rnacentral:rRNA from 1 species